AUGGUGAAGGACAAGAUGGCGGCGCUAGAGCGUGCAAAGAAGGCGAAGGGGGCGGCGAAGGGAAAAAAGCAGCACCGCGGGUCUUCAUCACGCGCGGGGCUGCCACCGGGCUGGAUCCAGGGCGAUUGGAUCUGGUCUUUGAUUCGGCAGGAGGAUCUGGAUGAGCUGCUGGAGUCUGGGCUGAUCGCCAAGGGAGCGGCAAGGUUGCCGGAGGGGGAGAUGGAGCCUCAGCCUCGAUCGGGUGAGUGCGUACUGCUCGCCACCCACAUCAACCGGGGUUUUUCGCUUCCUCCGCAUCCUUUCUUCCGGGGGUUCUUGAAUUUUUUCGGCGCCCAACUCCUCCAUUUUUCUCCUAACACCAUCACGUAUCUGGACGCCUUUGUGUCGAUGUGUGAAAACUUCUUGGGGUGUCGACCGCACUGGGGUCUGUUCAAACAUAUCUUCACCAUCCGCUCCCAGUCGGUCAAAAAAGCUAAGUCGAGUGACUCAAAGACCAAUGUCAUCCAGUUGUGCGGGGGUUUAGCUAUCCAAAAAAGGCAUAGGAGUUCUUUCCCUGCUACGACUCUCCCUGAAUCGGUCAGAGGCUGGCAGUCGACCUGGUUCUACUGCCAGGACACCGCAGCUCCAGGUCAGUCGACCGGCCUCCCCCACUUCACAUUCGACCACGUUCAGACCCCUUCUCCACUCAUAGUGACCGCUGCUGAGAACGUGGAGACGAAGAUGCUGGUGGAAAAAGUGGUUCAACUUAUCAACGAGGGUGUCAUCGGCCUGGACCUGCUGGAAGUGUUCCUUAGUCGAUGCAUCCAGCCUCUUCAGGCUUGCGAUCAUCCUAUGUGGUUGUACUCCGGACCUGAAGACACCGCUCGGGUCCAUCCAGAGGAAGUGUCGUCUGAGACCGUGGCCAUGUGGUUGAGGAGUAUCACCGGCAAUCAGGACAAUCCCAGGGGAUCCAGGCGAGUCAUCCCUUUCAGAGACGACAAUCCACCCGACAAGAUGUAUUCGAUGCCCAACGGCGAACAAGCUCUGGAGCAGGGCCAGGAGGGAGAGGCCAGCGCAGAAGAGAGCGACGACUGGGAGUCUUUGGAUGAAGAGGAGGAGGAGGUGAGCGAGGAGUCAGACGGCGAGUAA
rnacentral:rRNA from 1 species